UUGCAUGCUUCUGCAAAGGCAUUUCAAGCUGAAGGGAAAGUAUCUACAGAUCCUGUAGCUAUUGAUGCACCCGGUGGCUUUUUAUUUGAAUGGUGACCAGUCUUUUGGGAUAUAUUUAUUGCUAGAACAAAUGAGAAGCACUCUGACGCUGCUGAAUCCUACAUUGAGGUGGGUUUGUGAGAUUUUGGGUAGAGUUUUUUUCCUUUCUUUGGGCUUAACUUCCAGAAAUUUCACUCUCUUGCAUGUCUUUGGUUUCGUGAUUUGCCCUAAUUGUUGUGGUUGGUCCCUCCAUGCUAAAUCAGAAUGAAUUACAAUAAUUGCAAUCUGGAAAGUGAAAUCUGAUCCAGUCGCAGCACAGCUUUGUGGGUUUCUUGAUUCAAAGAAAAUAAGGUCAAGUUUGAUUUUUAAUAGUUAGUUUAUUUUUUUCUUGCUUUUUGCUAAGGUCCCUAUGAUCCAGUUUUGAUCGAAGCCUGGGACCAUUGGGAUGAUCAACAUGUUUCUGAAAAUGAUCAUCCUAGAGCAUUUCCAGACAAUCAGGUUGCUUUUGAUAUCAUUGAUCAAAAGAAAAGAUUAUGUUCAGCUUACAUUUGAAGCCCUUUAUUAUUAUUAUUAUUUUAUUAACUCUAUUUCAUCGCUUUGCAUUGUGUGCUAUGUUGUGUUUGUUUUACAACAUGGGGGUAAGGAUCUUGAAAGCUUUGUGCUCCUGAAUUUUGACGAAGCACAGAGUCUAUUAGUUCAGGUAAAUAGAGAUUUAUUUCAUUGAUAUUUUUUGUUCAUCUGCGAAUCUUUGAUCUGCUUCUUAACAAAGAGCCUAUUAUGUUUUAUAUAAGUUACGGCAGCCCUAGCAGUGGCUGAAUCAGCAAAUGAGUUCAUUUACCGCUAAACUUUGAUUAAAGCGCUGAGUAAGUUCAUUUACUAUUAAACUUUGAUUAAAGCUGGCUUUCUUGAUUCAAAGAAAAUGAGUCAAGUUUGAUUUUUAAUAGUUAGUUUAUUUUGUGUAUUCAAUAACUUCAUGGUGUAUCUCCUUGAAUUUAUGGGACUCUUCUUAUACUUCGUUUGGUCAAACUACCGUAGGGAGUGCAGCAAUUUUUGGCCUUUUCUUGGGUGCUGGUAGCUUGGUACAUUGUGGGAAAUCUUACUAACUUUUCUCUUGCUACUAUGAUAAAACCAAGUUUUCUGGAGACUCCGGGUAUGGAUUUUGGAUCUGUUUAUGGCAUGCAGAGAGCAUUAAGUGAAGGAGACAUAAAGGAUGGGGUUGGGUCAUUGAUACUGAGUUUUUAUGACAGACUCUUGGUAAUGGCAAUAUGAGCUUCAUCCACUCUCCUCACGAACAGCCUGUGAUGAUCACCACCUACCCUACUAAGGACCGCAGGGAAAAGCUUUCCAGAUACAGAAAUAAAAAGACACAGGAACUUUGGCAGAAGAAUCAAGUAUGCUUGCAGGAAGGCUCUUGCAAACUGUCAACAAAGAAUUCGUGGAUGGUUUGCAAAGACAGAAGAGCCAGACAUGUCCAGAAGGCAAUAACUCUUAACUAAUUCGGUAAGAAGAAGAAUAUGAAUGAAAUAGCUAGGUCUGAUGAAGUGUAAUGCAAAGAAUGAGUAGUAGUGAAGGCUGGCAAAGAGAAUUAGUGGAAAGCCUAAAGAGGUAACGCUAAAUAAACAAGACCUUUCUCCCAACUCCAACAGAAGUAGUGUCAGAUAAACUGUUUGAAGAAAGGUAGCGGACCUCCUCAGCAAUUUAAAUUCUUUAUGUUUGGUACUUGGUGUAGAUUUCAAGGACACCAUUUGUAAAAUUCACCGCACGAUGGAUGAUUCCAACGCAACAAAGGAUGUAACUAACCCUACGAUUCAGAAGUUCGCAACAAAAAUUUGAAGUUCUCAAGAUUCAAGAGGUCAAGAUACAGAGAACACAGAAAGUUUGUACCUAUGUAAAACUGUUUUACAAGUUUAUGAAAGGGGAAUUUAUUGUAAA